rnacentral:rRNA from 1 species
AUUGAACGCUGGCGGCAUGCCUUACACAUGCAAGUCGAACGGCAGCAUGGGUGCUUGCACCUGAUGGCGAGUGGCGAACGGGUGAGUAAUGCAUCGGAACGUACCCGGAAGUGGGGGAUAACGUAGCGAAAGUUACGCUAAUACCGCAUAUUCUGGGAGCAGGAAAGAGGGGGAUCGUAAGACUCCUCGCUUUCGGAGCGGCCGAUGUCGGAUUAGCUAGUUGGCGGGGUAAAGGCCCACCAAGGCAACGAUCCUUAGCGGGUCUGAGAGGAUGAUCCGCCACACUGGGACUGAAACACGGCCCAGACUCCUACGGGAGGCAGCAGUGGGGAAUUUUGGACAAUGGGGGCAACCCUGAUCCAGCCAUGCCGCGUGAGUGAAGAAGGCCUUCGGGUUGUAAAGCUCUUUCGGCUGGGAAGAAAUCGCAUCUCCUAAUACGGGGUGUGGAUGACGGUACCAGCAUAAGAAGCACCGGCUAACUACGUGCCAGCAGCCGCCGUAA